UCUUCGGUCUUCUUGCCCAGGGGGGGUAA
rnacentral:sRNA from 1 species